UUACCAUCCUAUUUCUUCAUCUUUUUCCCUCGAUAUGAAGAAACCCUAAAUCAUUCUUCCUCACAAUCUAAGUCGUUCCUCUCAUCUCUCAAGGCGAUUCUUUAUCUUCCAAUAUUCCCUUCAUCAUCAUUGUGUGUUCUUGCACCUCUUGAUUUUCUUCAAGGUAAAGUGACGGCUCUUCUCUCAAACCCUAAUCCUCAAUUUUGCUUCAACCAUCCGCAGUCCAAAAGCCUACAAUCAUCAGUUUGUACAAGAUAGCUCUUAAAUUUGAGGCAAAGGCAGCAGUUAUGGUCUUCCAUAGUCCAUAUGAAUGGCAAUUUUACAGUCGUGGACACGCUUGGACCUAGCUUAUGGGACGUAUGGAAUUCUUUUGGGCAAUUGUGAGUCCUUAAGGUAGAACCGUUAAAAUCUCUCUCUCUCUCUCUCUCUCUCUCUCUCUUUCUUAUGUUAGUUGGUUUUAGUCCUUGCUCCUUUAUUUUGCUUUGACCUGGGUAUUUUGUUUGUCGACUCACAAAAUUAUGCAUAUUAAAAUGACAAAUUAACUUUAAAAUGGUUGGAUAGCAUCAACAUAGAUUCCCAAGACUGCAAGGUUAGAUUGAUAAUUUUAUUAUUAAUCUAUUAAAAGUUAUAUGUUCGAGUUCCUGCUUCUAAGUCUGCAGUGUAUUACUUACUACUUCCCAGGGAUUCUUUGUGCAGAAAGACUACAAAAUGUUUCCACCUUCAGUAAAUUUGGAUAAUAUUGAUUGGUCUACAACGAGGCUGCAAAUCGAUUUCCCUGUCCUGGUGGGCGUUACUAUGAAGGUUAGCACUAUUCAACUGGUCCCUUAGAAAUGUUGUUUUUGACACAAGUGGAUCCUAAAUUGGAACAAUAGCAAAGAUCUCAUCAUUUCUUUGUAAUUAUUUAAUGAUAUGAGUAUUCUACUACUCUAUAAUAAGUGGGAGUGAGGUUAGCAAAACAAGAUGGUGAUGGCGAUGGUCACUGGCGGAUACCACAUAUAGUAAAUUAUUAUUUUACAGUAAUAUUUUUUACUGUUCUAUGAAGUUGUUUUAAAUUUACAUUCUAAUAUUAUUAACAUUUUCAUUUUAUUAUGUAAUAAUGGCUCU
rnacentral:lncRNA from 1 species